rnacentral:rRNA from 1 species
UACGUAGGGUGCAAGCGUUGUCCGGAAUUAUUGGGCGUAAAGAGCUCGUAGGCGGUUUGUCGCGUCGGCCGUGAAAACUUGGGGCUUAACCCCGAGCCUGCGGUCGAUACGGGCAGACUUGAGUUCGGCAGGGGAGACUGGAAUUCCUGGUGUAGCGGCGAAAUGCGCAGAUAUCAGGAGGAACACCGGUGGCGAAGGCGGGUCUCUGGGCCGAUACUGACGCUGAGGAGCGAAAGCGUGGGGAGCGAACAGG